rnacentral:lncRNA from 1 species
UUACCCUUAAAACAUAGUUCUCAAUGUUUUUGCUGUGAAAAGCUUUCAAAGAUACCUUAUAGACGUCGAUCUAGAAGACUUGUCAUCUUUGGUGCUCUGCUAUCAGUGAUAUCCAAUCUUCUAUUCCCAGUGUCUCUUCCACCUCCUGAUACAGAUGAACCCUGCUCAAGGAAACCAGGCAAAUUCGGCUCUCAAACAAUGCUUGACUUGAAACUUACAGAAAAAAAAUACAUCUUAUUUACUC